UACUACAAGGCUACAGUAAUCAAAACAAUAUGGUGCUGGCAUAAAAACAGCUACAUGGAUUCAUGGAACAGAAUACAGAGCCCAGGAAUAAACUCAUGCCUCUGUGGUCAAUGAAUCUAUCACAAAGGAGGCAAGACUAUACAAUGGGGUAAAGACUGUGUCUUCAAUGAAUGAUGUUGGCAAAAAGCCAGACAGAGACA